UGGGGAAUAUUGGACAAUGGGCGCAAGCCUGAUCCAGCAAUGCCGCGUGAGUGAUGAAGGCCUUCGGGUUGUAAAGCUCUUUCGCACGCGAGGAUGAUGACGCUAGCGUGAGAAGAAGCCCCGGCUAACUUCGUGCCAGCAGCCGCGGUAAUACGAAGGGGGCGAGCGUUGUUCGGAUUUACUGGGCGUAAAGGGCGCGUAGGCGGCGUGACAAGUCAGGCGUGAAAGCCCCGGGCUCAACCUGGGAACGGCGCUUGGGACUGUCAUGCUUGAGUUCGGGAGAGGAGCGUGGAAUUCCCAGUGUAGAGGUGAAAUUCGUAGAUAUUGGGAAGAACACCGGUGGCGAAGGCGGCGCUCUGGACCGAUACUGACGCUGAGGCGCGAAAGCGUGGGGAGCAAACAGGAUUAGAUACCCCCGUAGUCC
rnacentral:rRNA from 1 species